rnacentral:rRNA from 1 species
GAUGAACGCUGGCGGCGUGCCUAAUACAUGCAAGUCGAGCGAACGGACGAGAAGCUUGCUUCUCUGAUGUUAGCGGCGGACGGGUGAGUAACACGUGGAUAACCUACCUAUAAGACUGGGAUAACUUCGGAAAACCGGAGCUAAUACCGGAUAAUAUUUUGAACCGCAUGGUUCAAAAGUGAAAGACGGUCCUGCUGUCACUUAUAGAUGGAUCCGCGCUGCAUUAGCUAGUUGGUAAGGUAACGGCUUACCAAGGCAACGAUGCAUAGCCGACCUGAGAGGGUGAUCGGCCACACUGGAACUGAGACACGGUCCAGACUCCUACGGGAGGCAGCAGUAGGGAAUCUUCCGCAAUGGGCGAAAGCCUGACGGAGCAACGCCGCGUGAGUGAUGAAGGUCUUCGGAUCGUAAAACUCUGUUAUUAGGGAAGAACAUAUGUGUAAGUAACUGUGCACAUCUUGACGGUACCUAACCAGAAAGCCACGGCUAACUACGUG